rnacentral:lncRNA from 1 species
UGAUAUCUGUAUAGUUUUAGUCAUUAUUACAGAAGUCUGCCAGCAUGACAAAGAUGUUAUUCCAACAGCACCUACAGUUGUGUUGCAAGGUAACCCAGACGAUGUGAAAUGGGGUACAUCCAUAAUGCGGCAAAUCUCCUUAAACUGAUAUCUGUAUAGUUUGUCAUUAUUACAGAAGUCUGCCAGCAUGACAAAGAUGUUAUUCCAACAGCACCUACAGUUGGGUUGCAAGGUAACCCAGACGAUGUGAAAUGGGGUACAUCCAUAAUGCGGCAAAUCUCCUUAAACUGAUAUCUGUAUAGUUUUAGUCAUUAUUACAGAAGUCUGCCAGCAUGACAAAGAUGUUAUUCCAACAGCACCUACAGUUGGGUUGCAAGGUAACCCAGACGAUGUGAAAUGGGAAAUGUACAUCCAUAAUGGGGCAAAUCUCCUUAAACUGAUAUUUGUAUAGUUUUAGUCAUUAUUACAGAAGUCUGCCAGCAUGACAAAGAUGUUAUUCCAACAGCACCUACAGUUGUGUUGCAAGGUAACCCAGACGAUGUGAAAUGGGAAAUGCUGUUUCUCAUAAGAUGCAGCAAAAUCACUCUCAAACACCAAACAUCAGGCUGAACUUGGUGGCGAGGGGGACGGAUAUGAUGGCAACUCCCAACGCGACUCCGAAGAUACGGUGCGAGAUAGAGAAAGUAGCGCUGAACUGUGGCUUCUUCAGAGGAAGAUGAGGCGACAGUGGGCGGUUUGCUACAGGAGAUGAUAGGGGGCGGCUCGUGUGCAGGAGCCGAUUUCCAGGAGUAGACAUCUUUGGUGGCAGAGCAGCUAGAGGAGAAGAUGUGUAGCCCCUGGCUUGCUCAGGAUAUGAGCUUGAACUACCAAGAACACCUGAAAGAUGAAUGUGACAAGUUUAUAAGGGCCCCAAAUUUAUAAUAGGUAAGUAUAUGCAAUGAACUGCAAACAUUGGCUGUGUUCAGCCUGCAGCUGCAGAGCAGCACCAACAAAAAGAGAAACAGCAGCAGCCAUCGGAAGUAGCACUUCCUAACACAUCCAUUAUAUUCAAAAAGUACCUAAAAAACAACUCCCUAAAUCGAUUCCCUUUUUUUGGCAAAAUGGGCCCUCAAAACACUAUUGUAAAACAACUCCCUGUAAGCACUUGGUAAAUCUCCCUCCAACUCACAAAUAUAUGUCUCCAUCCUGCGCUGCACAUCCACCCAGGCAGCCCCCACCCCCACCCCUGUUUUCGAGCUUUAGGAAGCUAACUAUUAAAGGAAGAUAAAAAAAAGAGCUCCCUAUUCAUUUUGUUCAUUUGGCAUACUUCAUCGUUUACUAAGUGACUUUUAAGGAGCUCUUGGAGAUGCUCUAACCAGGAAAAAAAAGAAUACUCAGUAAUAAUAAUAUGGUGGACAUCUAAGUGCAUUUCAUCAAAGCGUAUAUAAAGAAACGUGACUGUAGUCUAUUAAGGUAUGUAUAUCAAACUAUGCAUCUAAAAUCAAAAUGAAAAUAACAUAUAUAGCUGAAUUCAUUAAUGCUACGAGGCAUGCUCAAAGUUUUGCCUCCAGGUAAGGAAGAGCAACUUCUGACUACAUAUUGUAAAAUGAUCGGAGAGAUAUGGCCACUAUUGGCAUCCAUUCGUGCUAAUGAUAUGACGGACCAGACCACAAAAUAGUGAUAUACUGCUACCUGUCUCAACAUAAGCCUCUAAGCUUCGAGAAUGAAAUGUUAUAGUGUCAUUUCCAGCCUCACACUACAGUAAUACAGCAUAUCCUGAACAACAUAAUGUAGUUGGAUUGAUUAUAGUGUGCUACAACUAUCUCCUAAUGGGUUUCAGUGUAACAUUGAUUAUUGUCUUGAAACUACAUGAGAGAAAACAUAUAACAAACCAGAGCAGUAGUUCUUACCACGGAGGGCAAAUGGAGUCUCUCUCAGGGGUGCAAACUGAGUGUUGCUGUUAUACUUCUCCAUUCCUGCACAGCCUGCACAAUAACCAAUAAUCAUGGAUUAGCAUCAGCACAGAAUCAUGGUUUUGGUAAAAGAAAAUUUGAAUACAAAUUUUUACCAAGCACAACAUAGAAAGAUUAAAUGAUAUCAACUAAAUUGGAGAAUACCAAAAUCAAUUGUUCCUAAUGAAGUUGGUGGUUUAGAAGAUCCAAGUAAAGUAUUUCAGCAAUUUCUAGAGUCUAGACCCUAGUCAAUCUCAAUGCUAACCAUUGUGACUAUGUACACAGAGCUAAAAAGGAUACAUAUGAUAGAAUAGAGAACAUAAAUUUGAGCAUCGUAGCAUACUGAAAUUUCUAGCCACUUUACUUAUGUUUAGAGAGCCUGACCGAAAAUCCAUAUAGACAUGCAUUCUGUGUAAGCAUGAGCAUGAGUUGUCAAAGUCACACUAUUGUAGCUAACUUACAUUUUCGAGCAAUCAUCAACAUCACUAAUGAAGCAAACUACACAGGUCUAUCCUACUAUGUCCUGUGGACUUAACUGCAUGAAGAGGAGAAACAUGCAAAACUUGAGUUGUGGACUAAUCAUCAACAUUCCUGUGGGGUGUUUUUAGUAUUUAACUCUUUCGUUCCAAGCAAAAGAGUAUUAUUUGCGAAUCAUUCAGUGCCAGAGCAUUGCUAUACAAAACUUUCAUAAUUAACUUGCAUGCUUGCCAAAGCGAUGUAAUGUUCCUUCUAUUGUCAGUAAGGUAGCACUACCUUGCUUCACUGGAUAGCUCAGUUUGUUCGGCAGAAGCUCUUUGUUGUUGUGAGACCUCUAGUGCCAGGUCCUAAUGUUCCUUCCUGGGAUCAAAGUGGAUGAAAACUCUGAUCCACCUAGUGUUGCUCUGGACCUUGCUGUGUUUUUUUUCUAUUGAUAUUUUGUUCAGUUCAAGUGAAUCCCCCCCACCCCCCAUAGUAAGGGCCCGUUUGGCAGAGCUCCCAGAGCUGAUUCUUUGUUGAAUCCAGCAGGAGCUCUGCCAAACAAUUUUUUAGAGAGAAGUGAUUCUUUGAUGAUUCCGUGAAAUGUUUCUCUAAAAUGAACUAGGCGGCUGUCAUGAUUUCAAGAGUUUAUGCUAAAGAAUCAAAGAGAAUCACUUUUCUCAGAGAAUCAGCUUCCAUAGAGAAUCAAAAUCAGAUGGAGCUCUACCAAACAGGCCCUUAUAAUCUGAAACUACUUAUAUGAAGAGUUGAUUACUUGAUUUUGUGUAAACAACUAAUGAUACUGUGGUUUAUCAGUGUUUCAAUCAUUAUCCAAAAGUUCACUGCUAUAAAUGUAGUUAUAAGUCACAUCAUUCAAUUUUAUUUGUAGUAAGAAAAUCACAGGUAACUCUAACGUUGUAUGUUUAUCCUCUUCACGCAUGUGAGUUAACAGGACUUAGUAGGAUAGAUAGGAUAGACAAUUAUAGUUUGUUCCAUUAGUGGUGUUGAUGAUUAGUGGAAAAUGUAAGCUAGCAACAAUAGUUUGACUGUAUGACACCUCAUGCCUAAGGUUUGCCAUCCUAAUUUUGUUUCUUUUAGCUAAGGGACCAUGGGUGCCAGGUGGUGUUCAACAUGCACGCCUAUACACAAACAAUGUGUAUGCAUACAUUGUGGUUGUGGUAACAACUUCAGCAACCUCAGCAAUAACUUUAAGCUGCUUGAUAGCCAAACCAUCCAUCUAACCAAUGAUAAAUUGCAAUUAGAAUUGGACAUAUACUUAUCAAAUUCACGUAUGAAAUGAAAAACAGCUUCAAAACUCAUCUGUGUUCUGUAUAGCAGCAUAGGUUCAGUUAACGUUGGAAAAAAAAAAUCAGAGCAGCUCAAAGUUAGAGCAGGACUUGAGAUUCCCCAUAUUGAAAAGGCAUCAAGACAAUAUACCUUGCACUUAAUUUGCGAUCCAUGCAACUAAGUGCUACUGAAUUAAGAGAGAACCAACCUAAUAAUAAUGGUAUAGAAAACUAACUUAAACGAAUGGUCUGUUCCAAUGCUAAAAAGCAGAACCUAUGCAGCGAGCGCCUGGUAUGUGAGAGGAAUCGAGCAGGGUUUACCUUGCUGCUCCGGAGGAGAUGGAGAGGCCUCCUUGCUGGCUACACAGAAGAUCUGCAGGAAGGAAGAGGCAGAAGAGGUCAGGAUGGAGAGGAUCUGGGCAGCCGGCGGAGGGCCAACCCUAGUCUCCAUGCGCAGAAAAAAAAACAAUGGAGGAUUAUGUGCCGCGCCCAGUCGUGACUCGUGAGGGCAAGCCGGCGGUGAUCCGGCCGCCCGAUCCGCGAACAUAUCCGUGCCCGUGUCCCAUGAUCCGGGACGCGUGCCCAAAAUCCAUCGGAAUCCCGGUCGGGAGAGGAGGCGCUGCGCGUUACUCACCCGAACGAAGCGAGCUCGGGACCGAUUCUCCGCCGGAGGGACGCGUCUGGAGGCGGGGGGCGGCGGUGCGGUGAGAGACCAGAGAUGGAACGAGGAAAAGCUUGCUCGUGCCUCCGCUGGCACUACGCCCUUUGUUCUGGGAGGAACAGCCCGGCACGGCCUGGUUGGCAUCGUGCGUGGACUGACACGGCCUGGCCCGGCCGGCAUCAUGCCCAGGGCCUUGUUUAGGCCUUCCCCACCCAAAAACUUUUCAUCCAUCCUAUCGAAUUUUUAGACACAUGCAUAGAACAUUAAAUAUAGAUAAAAAAUAAACUAAUUACACAGUUUAGUUGAGAAAUAGCGAGACGAAUCUUUUAAGUCUAGUUACUCCAUGAUUAGCCUUAAGUGCUACAGUAACCCCAUAUAUGUUAAUGACAGAUUAAUUAUGCUUAAUAAAUUUAUCUUGUAGUUUCCUGACGAGCUAUGUAAUUUGUUUUUUUAUUAGUUUCUAAAAACCCCUCCCGACAUCCUUCCGACACAUCCGAUGUGGCACCCAAAAAAUUUUCAUCCCCAAUCUAAACAGGCCCUUAGUUUCUUGCCGAAAUUUUUCGCAACAUUGUAGUAUUUUCGUUUGUAUUUUGUGAUAAUUAUUGUCUAAAUCAUGGACUAACUAGACUCAAAAAAUUCGUUUUGUAAAUUUCGACCAAACUGUACAAUUAGUUUUUAUUUUUGUUUAUAUUUAAUACGUCAUACAUGUGCUUAAAGAUUUGAUGUGACAGUGAAUCUUGAAAGUUUUUGGAUUUUGGGUGGAAGUAAACAAGACCCAGGUUGACAUGGGCCAUUAAACCAUGCCGUGUUUAGCCGAAAGCUGGCACCAAUUAGCCCGUUUAUUUGGUUUGAGCAACAUUAUUGAAACUUUUAUCUAUAAUUUUUUUUAGUAAAAUAAAAAAAAACAUCUUCAACAGUUUAUAGCAUCUUAAUUCCUCAUCUUUUUUAUGUUCGCAUAUCUCCCUAUCUAGCACGUAAAUAUGCGCGAGGGCUCCAUGUUUAACAUCGAUUUUUUUUCUCAUACUUAGCGGGGCUUUUCGUUUUUUUAGUGGGGCUCUUUGUUUCUUUAGCGGGGUUUUGUUUUUUUAGAAAACGAAAUUUGCUAAACUGUUGAAGAUAUUGGUUUUUCUCCCUAUAUUAUUUUGGGAGUUGAUAAAUAAUAAGAUUUGAGAAACGAAUUUUACCAGAUAAUUAGAGAUACUCUGUUUGUUGGGUAUUUAUCACCUAUCUAGGCUCCCCGAAGCCACCAUGACGAUGUUUGGUGGCCUAUUUACGGAGGAUGACCCAACUAUCAUAGGGGCUAAUAAAGGUAAAUCACGACAUGUUAAUUUAUGGAGCAUAAAGAGUGACUAGAAAGUGAGUAUCUCCAAUAAUUUGUCAAAUAACUUUCUAUAUAUAAAUCUUUUAGCAAAGUGAGAAAAAACUCUCUCCAUCAGUUUGAUAUAUCAAUUUCUCAUCUUAUCUAACUUCUCCUAGUCUAGCGCGCAAAUAUGCGUGUGGGCUCCGUGCUUGACAUCGGUCUUCCUCCUUAUGCUUAGUGGGGCUCUUCGUUUCGUUAGCGGGUUUUUGAUUUUUGGAAACGAAUUUUGCUAAAUUAUUAGAGCUAAAACCUUUUUUCCUCCAUAUAUUAUUUUAGGAGUUGGCAUACAACAAGAUUUGAGAAAUGAAUUUUGCGAAACGGUUGGACACGUUAUGCGCUAAAAACAGUAUAGGUGGGUAUCGUAAGCUCGUGUCUCGUGGCAAUAAGCCAAUAAUUGAGAUGACAUGACUGUCGCACUUGAAAACAAAAAUACAUCCAGAUGUGUUCGCCUACGUCUAGCUCUUUGCAGAUUUACGGUUCACAGGCAUACUAUCGCCCUUCAUUGUUUGUUGCAAAGCAUGGCGUGGUGCUGCAGCCUGCAGGGGCAAUUCCACCUCCAUCCAUGGCCAGAUUUGCCAACCGCUCCAUUACCAUGCAUCAUGGGUGUUUACUCCAGUUACCAUUCGUCAUGCGAGAUGGCGGGGGAUCAUCAGGGCUGAAUCCCUGUCUUGGUGUAGCUUCGAUCCCCAUAUGCUACUAUUCAUUCAUAUAUCCUAGAAAGCAUCUUACUCUCUACGUCUCGAAAUAAAGUGCGUUCUAGCAUUCACAACAAAAAAAAAUAUUUACUUAAAUAAAAAUAUAUGAUCCGCUGCUUUCUUUUUUUAUUUAUUCUCUCUUCUACUUAAAUAAUGAAAGUAAUUCCGUGCUUACCAUAUUUUCGAUAAGAAAACAUAGAUUCCACUCUUUAUAAUCGUGUAAAAUAUGAUUGAAAAAAAUUAAAUGAGGGGUACAUGUAUCCAUUACUCUCUCUUGUUUUGUCUGAGAAUAGCUACAAUACACUAUAUUUCACGACAGAGAGAGUAUCAAGUUUGGUAAUUGGUAACGCUAUAAGCAAAGGGUUCUAUACCUAUUUUUGGUCUUCUCCAACGAUAAAAGCAAGCGAAUCCUUCUUGUAAAUGGGUCUCAAGGAGAGAAAUAUUUGGGUUAUACAUCUACUGAUAUCUAAAAUGUGAGUUUUCUAUAUAGGUGUAUUGUUAGAGACUAUAGAUAUUACGUUGAAUACCCAUUUUAGAUGUAGACAUAUCUUAAUGAAAAGAAUUCAGCUUGGUUAAAUAUAGAGCGUACAACAAACAUAAUAUUCUCUAAUUUCUUAGUUUGUGUUUUUGUUUCAUGACGAUUUGUGUAUGUAGUAACUUAUUAUUUCUCUAUAUAUCUAUAUCUAUAUCUAUAUCUAUAUCUAUAUCUAUAUCUAUAUCUAUAUCUAUAUCUAUAUCUAUAUCUAUAUCUAUAUCUAUAUCUAUAUCUAUAUCUAUAUCUAUAUCUAUAGACAUAUUUUUGUCUGGCCUCUUCCCUAAACCAGCUUCGACUCGGUCACGCCUAAUUCCAAAUCCAAGCCGGACAGGAGGAGGCAGACGCCGUGCAAUCCGCCAGAGCUCCUUCGCAGCGUCGCGCAGAGUAGGAGCCCGCGUUCCCAGCUCCCGUGGCCUGGCGCCUGGCCGGAGGAGCUGGCACACUCCUUGGCUGCGUCGCGCGGAGUACAAGCCCGCGCUCCUGGCUCCCGUGACCUGGCAGACGGAGAUCUCGGCACAUGGGACUCGACGUAGGGUGGCACGAGAAGAUCUCGACGGAGGGGACUGGAUGGAGGGCGGGCGCGAUGACGACUUUGGGGAUCUCGGCGUAGGGAACCAGAUGAAGAGAACGAGAGAAGGGGAUGGUGUACCAGCAACAACGUUGGACAACAAUGGCGGCGGCGUGGCCUCCCGACGUCGGACGGCGGCGAGGACGCUGGGUCGAGCGGCGUGGCCUCCUCACGUCAACCGGUGACAGUGAAUCCUCUCUGCGUCGGCUGGCAGUGGCGGCGCUGAGGUGGAACGGCAUAGCGUCUCAGGAUAGCAUCGAUUCAGGCGCGCGGCGGGGCUGGGACCUGGGAGACCUGGGAGCGUCUUCAUCUAAUGAAAUGCCUUCACUGUCUUCACUCACCCCUAACGCAAAUGGGCCUCCAGCCCAGAAGUGAAAUAAUGGUAGCAAAAAAGUUCUAAAAAACAAAGAAAAAUGGCAAAAAAAAGUUAAAAAUAAUAAAAACUAAGAUUCAAUUUGUGGACCUGAGAAGUAGAAUAUCAUUACGUUAAGGAAUCGUACAAGUUAAGUUCAACAGGGAAAUAUAUAUACCUAAUAAUAAAUUGUAAAAAUUUUAGUUCACCACGAAAUUCUGUUCACCAGUCCAUCCGUACAGGACUAUGAUUCUUUACCUAAUAUUUAAUCAUAAAAAUUUCGGUCUGCCUACUUUUUUUGUACGCCCAUAAUAUAUGACCACAGCCCGGCCAGAUCAGUUGAGUUCAAGUAGGAUACAGAGUCUGAUCCGUUCCCAAAUUUCAACGAUGCAAUAAAUUAAUUACGGUAGCGACAGAGACCCAACUAAUAAAAAAAUCUAUUGUAAUAGCGAACGUGUAAAUUUUUACUUAAUAUUUAAUCAUGUAAAUUUCAGUCUGUCCACUUUUUCAAUUUGCAUAGGGCUAGCGACGGGGACGUUAUGUUGGAGUGGUAGACAAAAACCCUAUGGUCAAGGUAGGACGUCAUGGGAGGUUGGUGAGGCGGUGAUACUAUGUGAGGUGCCCACUGUCGAGAGCAAAAUUGGAGGCAGUGCCGGUAAAUAGGAAGAAGGAUCAUACAGUUCCCAACAAUACGAUCCUUCUUUCGUAGCAAUGCACGGACAUAUUUCCUAGUACUAUAAAAGUAGUAUAAAAGUAGGGGUAAUUCCUCUUGUUUCCCUUCGAAAAUAAAAGUGAGGUUUACCCGUAGACGAGUAUGGGCCUAUGGGGUGGUAGAGGUCAAAACUGACGACCCCGUUCCGUUCCGACUUCGACCCACGGCCCCACCAAGUCAGUCAGCCAGCCCGCGCCCACACGGAUCUCAAGGCACCUAGCGUCCUCGACGCGGCGAAGCAUCCUCUUCCACAGUUUCCUUCCUCUAGUUGCCUUUCCAGAGCGACAACUCCCAACUCCCCAAAUUUCCUUCACCCGAAAGCCCCCAACCCCACCCCAUCCUCCGAUCCCCUCCCCUUCCGCCUCGCCUCCGGCCACCGCGUCCGCCCCCCGACCCUGAUGGCGUCGGCGGCGUGGUCCUCUAAUGUGAUGCUCGCGAUCCACGAGAAGAAAACGACUGCCACUGAUCUCUACCGCCCGCUGCGCCUCUACAUCGCCUCCGUCUACUCGGAGCGCGAGGCCGCCGCGGCCGACGACGACCUUACCGUGGUGCGAGACCUCCGCGCCGCUGUCGAGCAGCCCUCCCUCCCGGACCCGUCCUCCCUCGAGCAGCGCCGCGACGCGCUGCUCGCCUACGCGCGGGCUCUGGCGCUCGUGGAGCCCCGGUUCCCCAUCUCCCCCGACCGCGCCCACGUCCACUCCCUCACCUUCACCUGGCACGACGCCUUCAAGGGGAACAAGAAGUGCGCCCUCGCCUCCAUCCACCUCGAGAAGGCCUCCGUGCUCUUCAACAUCGGCGCCGUCUACUCCCAGAUCGCGCUCGCCGCGGACCGCUCCACCGACGUCGGGAUCAAGACCGCGUGCGGCGCCUUCCAGAGUGCGGCGGGGGCGUUCGCGUGGCUCAGGGAGAGCGGGGUCGCGGCCAAGGCUGUCGCUGCGGGGGCCACCACUGUGGACAUCACGCCCGAGUGCGCCGGCAUGCUGGAGAAACUCAUGCUCGCGCAGGCGCAGGAGUGCUUCUUCGAGAAGGUCAUAGGUGGAGGGAAGCCACCCGCGCUGUGCUCCAAGGUGGCGCGGCAGGUGCGUGGUUACUUCCUGUUGUUCAGGUUUUGCGGUAUGGGAGCUUAAUUUAGAUUGAUGUGGAAUGAAUGAAAGCUCUGAAUGUUUCUUAAGUUGUUUAAGCAUUUACAAUAUGUUUACCAGCCAUAAGUGAAUUCAUGAUGUUGUAGUGUUGAGGACUUAUAACUAAGAGAAUUAUAGGAUGCUGAACCCUACUAGGGAAGUCCAUUUAUCUAACAUCAAGGUAAACCUAAUUCUAGAAAAAUUCUGUAGGCCUAUGCGGUGGUUAACUUGUUUGAUUGAAUCAUAUUUAGGACUCAAGCAAGCUCAUGUGUGUAUCCAGUUGUGAGAUUAGUUCCUACAGUUGGUUUGAUUUAGUUAUAUAUGAUAUGAUGACUUAAUUGUAUAUGAGUUGCACGGUUCAUUUUAGCUACUAUUAAUACAGCAUAUUCUUUCAUGAUGCCAUACAGUUCUUUCUUCUGCAAAACUUUGGUGUCAGUGUGCUAUCUAACUAAUUCUUCGUCAUUACAUGUUCACAUAUCUUUUCAGGUGGGCAUAUUCUAUGAAGAAGCAUACGCAGCUCUCAGUGCACCUCCUCUAAGUCAGCACUUUGAUAAGACAUGGGUGUCCCAUGUCCAGCUGAAAGCUGCUCAAUUCUACGCCGAUGCUUGCUAUAGGUAUUCAUUAGAUCUUCAUCAGAAAGAAGAAAUUGCUGAGGAAAUUGCACGUUUAAAGAUUGGUAUGAGUGCCUUGGCAGAUGCUAAGAAGGCUGCGAAGGGAGUUGCUGCCCAGCUUCUGGAUUCUGUGAACAAGCUGGAAACUAACAUGAAAACCAACUUGGAAAGGGCUAUGAAGGAGAAUGAUCGUGUUUACCUGAUGCGGGUUCCAGCUGCUGGUUCCUUGGGAGCCCUCCCUGCAGCAUCCCUUGUAAAGCCUACCUCUUUGGCAGAAGUUUUAGAUGCCAGCAAGGAAAGGCUUUUUUCAUCACUUGUGCCUGAUGGCAGCAUGAAAGCACUCUCUAAGUACACAGAGAUGCUAGAUAAUAUUAUCCGGACCCAAGCAGAGAAAUUGCAGCAAGCCAGUGAGAUCACUAGAGUCAGGCUGAAGGAAAUGGACUUACCAGAUUCUAUUCUUUCAUUGGAAGGAAAUAUAACCUUGCCCUUGGAUCUCAAGGAAGACGUAGAGGCUGUGCAGAUAAGUGGUGGCCCUGCUGGCUUAGAAUCUGAGUUGCAGCAGCUUAGGGAUUUGAGCAGGGUCAAUCAGGAACUACUUGUUCAGACUGAAGAGCUUCUACAGAAGGAGGCGAAUGAAGACGCUCAAUUUCGUACACAAUUUGGGAGUCGCUGGACUAGACCUCAAUCAAGCACCCUAACCAAGAAUAUUCAGGAUAGAUUGAAUCUGUUUGCUUCUAAUCUGAAGAGAGCUGCUGAUAGUGAUUCUCUGAUCGAACGAGGCGUGAAGGAGAACUAUCCAUUGAUGUCUAUCCUUGACAAAAGACCGGUGAGAGAUUAACAUUACUAUAUAACAUGAAACUAAAAGUAUAAUUAGCAUUGAACAUUUGAGUGGAUUACUUAUCUUUAUUUGCUACCCAAUGAACCGUGACUCUUUUCUGUGAUCAUCAUUUUAUUCUUCAUAUCUAGAUAGUUACACAUACCUGUUCUCUGUUGCAGAUAGAGUCUGCACUUCCAAGUAUUUCCAGGCCUAUCAUGUCCUUGGAUGGGAAUGAAGAUGCCAUUGUUGGAGCCCUGAAACAAAGCUUGGUAAUGUACAUUAGUUUUUAUAGCUGCUAGAACAUGUAGUUAGACUGUUUUUUUUUUACUUGGCAAAACUUACUUUUAUUUGUCAACAGAGACAACUGGAGGCUCUUGGAGCACAAAGGGCAGGUCUUGAAGACAUGCUCAAAGAAAUGAAAAGAAAGGUGUAACUACUGUUCCUGUAUUUUUCAUUGUAGUUCAUUUUUCACGAGAUUUUUCUUGGCCGUAUCUGUAGAAUACAUUUCAUCUGGUGCUAGCAUUAAAUUACAAGCCAUGGGUCUGUUUUACCUUCUCAGUGAACAUAUCAUGCUUAAAGUUUUAAUGUUCUUCCCUCAAAAAAAAAGUUUUAAUGUUCUUGGCUUCUUGGAGUGCUGUAUUAGUACUAAUUCAUCAUGGGCUCCUAUGACUAUGAGUGCCUUUAUGUGUUCUGUUGUUGCCGACUAAGUAAUAUUCUGCUUUGCAUUGCCCCUUUCAAAUUCCACUUCAAUUGUUCGAGAAAAAAAUUUUCACAUGACAAGAUUUUAUGGUGGUCCUGAUGGAUUGCUUUUCAAGUUUGUUAGUCCUUCAACUAGCUGAAAUUCAUUCACCAUCUUUCAUUACUUAGUAUUUUAUUGUGCUAAGAAGAUCAAUUUUUGCCAGGACGAUAUAUUGCCUAAGUUGAUGACUGGUGUGGGAUCACAUGAUGAUCUUUUCAAGAAGGAGCUUGCUAAGUAUGAUCCUAUCUGUGCUGAUAUUGCUGAUAACAUUGUGGCACAGGAACAAUUAUUGCUACAAAUACAGGUAAACAGGCAUGCCUGAUAAAUAAUGGUGGUGCAGUCCGCUUUGAGACUUUCUUUGUGUUAAAUUUGCGUAAAGUUCUGUCAUCAACAUAGGUGUAUUAAAACUGAGUAGUAGCGUCAUUGUUUUGAAAUUAAGUGAUUUAACUCCAGAGAUGAGAAAAGGAAGAAACAGUGGGAGAACUGUUUAUAAGAGCCCAAUGCCCUAUAUUUUGUCAUGUACUUUCGUCUUGUGUCUGACAUUUGGAUACUGGAUCCUUGCACAGGCACAAAAUGAGCAAUUUGCUGCUGUAUUCAACCUAGAGGAUUACAAAGGUAACCUUUCUGGGACUUUUUUUGUGUCACAGUUGUGAUAGAAUGCCUUUACAUUUUACUUUCAUAACUUGCUGUAUACAUUGAAUCUCUUUAGGUAUUCUAAUUUUCCUAAUGCCAACAAAGUUUUACAGUUAUUGCUUGAGGGCCCCUCUGUCCCUUUUUAAGUGUCGCUAUAGUAUUCGUGCUAGUCAAAGUUUCUUAAAGUCGACUAGGUUUGCAGAAAAUGUUAGCAACAUUUGUAUAUCCAAAUAAGUUUAUUAUAAAAACAGAUUCAACGAUCUACCUAAUGAUACUAAUUAUGUAUCAUUAAUAUUAUUUUUUUUCUUAUAUAUUUGAUCAAAGUUGGGUAUGUUUGAAUUCUUGGAAAGUGAGAACAACAGUUAAAGAGGGACAGAGGGAGCAUGUUCUAAUUUUUCAGCAAAUUAUCUGCUUCAACUGUCCAUGUGAUGUACCGCUGCCUUUUGCACUUUCAACUUGUAUUUUAACAACUUUAUUUUUUAUUAUUUGCCUUAUGGAUGGUAGCUAUCAUACAGUAUUUUAUUUUUGUAAUGUUCUUUCCAUUCUUGAGCCCAGCAAUUACAGUGGUUCCCUAGAUCAUGCUGGCUGGUUGGGUAGUUAUUGGUUCGUGGGCAUUUUUGUGCAAAUUUCAGCAAUUUGUCUGCUUCAGUUGUCUAUAAUCUUCCUUAGCAGGCUAGGUGUUGCUUGUAUGCAUGUCUUUUCCUGCAUGUGCGCCAUUUUCUGGAGUAACUUCAAAUUGAUACUGCUCUGCUUAAUUUCUACUCCCUCUGUUCCAAACUAGAGGUCACUUUAGCUUUCCCCUAAGUCAAACUUCUCUAACUUUGACUAAGUUUUUAGAAAAAAACAAAUAUUAACAUCUACAAGUUCAAAUAAAGGCACUGUCAAGACAUAUUUCAUGGAGAACUUAAUGAAACUGAUUUGUGUUGCAAAUGUUGAUGUAUUUUCUAUUAAACUUAAAUCAAGUUAGAUAAGUUUGACUGCCUUGUUUAGUUCACCCCGAAAACCAAAAAGUUUUCAAGAUUCCCCGUCACAUCGAAUCUUUCAACACAUGCAUGAAGCAUUAAAUAUAGACGAAAAUAAAAACUAAUUGCACAGUUUACCUGUAAAUCGACGAAUCUUUUGAUCAUAGUUAGUCCAUAAUUAGACAAUAUUUGCCACAAACAAAUGAAAGUGCUACAGUAGCGAAAUCCAAAAUCUUUUCGCAUCUAAACAAGGCCUUAGGACAAAAAUUGACCUAUAAUUUUGAACGGAGAGGGUAACCUGUAAUCAUUGCUGACAUGGAACUGUUAUCACAGUCAGGUGCUAUUAUUUUUUAGAUCCCUAGGAGUCAGAUCUUUGAACAAUGUAAUAUGUAAUUCUUUUUCUUUGCACAAAGCUAAUGUGUAAUUUUGAUUUGUUAAUCUCCUUUUUCUUCAGCUGCUCGUGAGAGAUGCUACAAGCAAAUCGCUGCUGCUGUUGCUAAAUAUCAGGAGUUCAAAAAGAACAUUAACGAGGGCCUAAACUUUUAUGUGACUUUACAGGUGUGAUUGCAUUUCCAUUUUCAUUUUGUUCCAUUUGCAUUGAACAUAGGAAUGCUGGUGUCUCCUCUCGAAUGGGCCACUGAUUCUGGGAUGAUCCCUGUGUACAGGAAGCAAUAGGCAAAAUAAAGCAGCAGUGCAGUGACUUUAUAAUGACCCGAAACAUUCAAUGCCGUGAAAUGAUCGAAGAUGUGCAGAGGAAGCUAGCGGGUUUCAGCUUCUCGUCCUCCGGCCACUCUUCUUUGCAGAGGAAUGCUUCUGUGCCACCUGAUCAGAGCAGCCCAUCACCACCGCCGCAUGCUCAGGCUCCCUAUGCCUCUACACCUGGGGUAGACUCAAGGCCUGGAUAUUCUCAACCGGAGCCAAGACCUUCAUACUCACAGCCAUACCCCUCAUCCUAUGGCGCGCCACCGCAACAGCCUCCAUACAGUGCACCACACCCUGGUCAGUACCAGCCACCAGCGCAUCAGCCGCCUCCUGGUCAUGACUAUGGUCAGCCGGCAUAUCCUGGAUGGCGUGGUCCAUAUUACAAUGCCCAUCAGCCGCAGCAAUCUGCGCCAUAUCCACAGCCACCGUACAAUGCCCCUGGGGCUUACCCUCCGCACCAGAGCAACUAUUACAGGCCUCAAUAAGUCAUCUUGUGGUUGCUGCAACUAUUUGUUUGUUUCUUUUCCAUUGGAUCUUACCAUUGAGGAGUACAUUAUCUGGCGUACUGCAUACGAGAGUUUGGGUGGUGUAAUAUCAGGUUGAUUAGAAGGUAUAGCUUGUAUGAUUUGUACGUAUAAUAAUGUGCUGGAUGUGUUGUAAUACGCGGCUACAUUCUCAUAUGCAUAUUGCAACACCUACGUCUAUCUCAGCAUCUCCCCUUUGCGUGACUGAGUCUUAAUAUAAAUGCAAGAAGUCAAUUCAUGUGACACUUAGAUAAUCAUAUUUGCGUCGAGAUCACCCUCUUAAUAGUAUAGCUAUCUAUCCUAAAUUUACUCAUACUCAUGCCUUGUGUCAAAAUAAAAUGACCUUAUCAAAUAUACCUUUGUUUUGAGGCCAUUUUAUUUUUUUUCUUCUUUUCCAAGUUUGAAGACCUUCACUUAGGCUAUCACCAUCACCAUGACCAUCAUCUAGCUCCACCACUUAGUAUAUUCGACCUAGCUCAUGUUCAUCAUUUAACGACAAGGUUAGUACAUUUAGGUUUGAUCAAUUAUCUAAAACUAAACUAGAGCUUUCACACAGUCGCCAUUCUAAUUGAAAACACACUUAUAUGUUGAUAAUAAAGCCAAAUUUGUCAGCCAUUCAGUAGUUUUUUCUCUCACAACAGUACCUUCUGCCAUGUCUUAUCAGCCAAACGAACAAGAGCGUCAUUCGAUUAAAGUUGUCUGAAGUGAAAAUCAUCAAUUGUUGUGUACAUAUUCCCCAUAUAUCCACAUGGUACAUGAUAGCAUCCCUGCAUAACAAAUGAAGCCAUAUAAAAUAUUAGCCAGUAGCCACUAAAAUUAAUCUCUGCUCUUUCAUGUGUGUGUUAGUGAAAGAUGAGAGAGAGUCUACAAGAUCUUCCUCACAUUUAUAUUUGUUGAGUCAAGAAGUAAUUUUAAACUCAUAUGUUCACAUGUUCAAGGAAUAUAUCCAGAACCUGUUUGUGCAAAUCAGUCUCGGAUCCACUUGGUCCACUAGUCACCGGUACCUAAAGGAAUCAAUAAGACAUGUUCAUCAGCAAAAUUUUUGACUGAAUGGUCACAGAUGCCUAUAGAUUUAAAUUAGCUGUCAUAUUUAUUGGGCCACCCCCUAAAUAGUAUAAAAAGGACCAAAGGAUUUAGAAGAGACGAGCUAUUACGAAGAUGUAAUAAAUCUAAAGGAUUGCAUGAUUUUAGAUGCAAUACAUGACGAAAAAAGAAGACAAGGCGACUCUAUUUCUUCUUCAUGUUGACUGUGAGCAUGACUGUAUGUCUGUAUGAAUGAAGAUGAUAUAGUUGACGAAAACUUUGCAAACCUGUCAUGUCUAUAGACAGUGCCUUUGGGGUAUGCUAAUUUUAUUUUGAUAUAUAUGAUUCCCUUUUGUACUCAUUGGGAUGGUGUUUCAAUAGCUACCUGACCCAUUUUUUCCAGGCCUUAUCCAAAGUUUAAGCUUGAAAAAGCUAAAGGAAGUACUUAAAUUGUGAAUAAGCCCAUGGACAUUGAUUGUUUCAACGGGUAUCCACAAUCACAUGUUGUGCAACCAACAUUUUGAUGGGCAAUGCAGUUUGUUCUUGUUCGAGAUGAUGAAUAGAAGUAUCAUCAUAAUGUAUCCUAAUUGUAUACCUAAAUGGGCGAAAAGACCAUAUCUUCCUAGAAUAGAGAAGACCAGAAAUACGCUGGCCAAUGAAAGUUCUAAACCCCGCAUGGAAUGAGAAUGUAUAUGAUUUGGGGGAAGAUUAAGGGCAUGUUCAGUUGCAUCCAGGUGGAACCAAUCUAGGGAGGGAGAGUAUCUCAUUUCCAUUGACCAUUGCAGAGUAAAUGCGUGGGGAAUGCAGUCCAGGAUUGACAUGUAGAUUUCGAACGGGAUUGGUUCCACCACUCUAGAGGUCUGGAUUGAAUCCAGGCGGCCAUCAUGCAUGGAUGCAGACAGCGUGAGUGACGAUUGUGACACUACUGGCAUGAUGACAAGGUGGGCAGCCGGCCUAGACCUGUGAAACGCAGCAAGGCACGGGAUUGAAUCCAGGUGGGUUGGUCGCUACAACCGAACGGGGCCCGAUUUCUUGAGGGAAGAUUUUAUUAAAUGCUAUAUUGUUUCUUGUCUCAUUUUGUGAUGGAUUUCAAUACAGUCACCAUUCUAAUUGAAUUACUGAAUUGUCAAAACAUUUAUAUUUUAUCUAAUGCGGAAUACGCUAUUGUCUGGCCUUGUGUAUUAAGGCAGCGCCUUUUUCUAAUAGCGUCAUCAGUGUCUGGCUGUACAUUAUAUGCCAUCGUGACUGAGGUCCUGCACCUGGCAGAAUGGCAUGAAAACCUCUGCCCCCACACCGACAUGUCCAUAGGACCACACGGUCAUCCAGCUAGUAACAACUAAAUUCAGCUAAAGAUAAGCAGUAUCAAAUCGUGCAGUUGCGAACAGAUUAAUCCCAUGCAUGCAUGCCUAGUUUAGAAGUCCAAGAUUUGCAUGCAUAUAAGAACAGUGGAGGGAACAAAGUGAAGCUGUUAGCUGUAUAUGGCAGCGUGUGCACGUACAAUACAACCAUCCCACAGGUUUCCUCGUACAUACAUAGAGGUUCAUUAUAUGCUCGAGUGCAAAUUGUUUACCGCACUGACGGCACUGCAAAGAAUGAUUGACAUGCCCGCAGGGAAUGCAACCAUUUUGAUUGACAUGCCCGCACUGACGGCUUCUGCCACGACUAUGAGACCAGAAGCUAUCCCCAGCUUGGGUAAAGUGGCAUGCGAGAAGAUUGGGGUUGCUGCUGAAUGCUCCGGCUGUUUGCGCUAAUAAAGCCCUGCAGGAGGCUCUGCGCAGCUUUUGCUUCCUCCAGUGUGCCCUGGAUCUCCACCACAGACUCGGAAGAACCAGCAUGAGCCUCAUGUAGCCUCAGUCUUGCACCAGAAAUCUGGGUCAAGUAGAACAUUAAUGAGAAAACCUAUUAUAUUUAUAUCAUAAGAGGACACAUUUCAUAUAGAAGUGCCCAUGGAAGAGAAAAGCUAAUCAUAACAGAGGAUGCAUUUCAUAUAGCAGUGCCCAUGGAGUAAAAGGCAUAAUAACUUCUAUCUAUACCUGACGGAUCUCUGCUAGAUUGACCCCGCCAACACCGACAAUAGACUCCAAAGAACUAUUUGGAAUCCUCAGUUCAAUAGUGCUCAAGAACCUUCUGCCAAAGGAAGGUAUUUUCAAUGAAAUCUGUACAGGUAAAACUAAAAUUAUGUUUAGGAAGGAAGCAAGGCCUCCAAAGUCAUACCCAGUAGCACUUGUCAGUCCUCUGUAAUCCUCGCGUCCAUGAAUUUGUCCAGCAGUCUGUGCAAUGAUAAAAUUUAAAUAUAUACAGAACUUGAGAUUUUCUGGUAGGCAUAGACAAUAAAAAAAAAUCGGUUGAAAGUUGAAACCAAGAGCGGCAGAGUACAUCCCAGCAGACAAAUAUAUACUGAACCAAGUUGCAAGUGACAACAAAUGAGGAGUUGCACCACUGUGACCACAUUAUAGGGUGAACAUUGCUGCCACAGAAGUGACAGCUAAGACAGCAACAUAUCUCUCUCCACCCCCCCCCCCCCCCCCCAAUAUUCAGGAGUACCACCUAAUUACGGAACAGAACAGGGACAAUGGCACAGUCAUGUGCAAAGUCUCAAGCUUCUAAUAAAAAUUUCAGGUGAUGGCCAUUUGCAAAAGAGGGAAGCUCACGUCAAAGAUGUACCUCGGUAUAGUCAUAAGCAUCUGAAUUUCCAUCUCUUGUGAUGCCUAAUUGCUGUGUACCCCUACUAGAGUAGCUAUCAGCAGGCACAUGGGCACGAUAGGAACGAUGAGACAUAUGAUCCACACCAGGACUGAAAGCCGAGGGAAGUUCUCUAGUAGGAAAGCGUGUGGCUGCUGCAUAUCUCUCAUAAGGAGCUGAUGGGGCAUUACUAGUAAACAUAGGGCUUCCACUAGGAUAUUCUCUUUUAGAAAAGUAGUCUACAGGAUAUGCAUCAGAAGGAUCACGAGGUGCACUUUCGUUUGGUCUUGGUCGUCCAUAUGGUGGAUUGUUGGUAGGCCUUCCAUAUGGAUCAUUAGCAGGUCUUCCAUAUGGUGGAUCGUUGGCAGGCCUUCCAUAUGGUGGAUCGUUGGCAGGUCUUCCAUAUGGUGGAUCAUUGGUAGGUCUUCCAAAUGGUGGAACAACGGCAGGCCUUCCAUAUGGUCGAUCGUUGGUAUGACUUCCAAAUGGUGGAUCAAUGGCAGGCCUUCCAUACAGUGGAUCAAUGGCAGGCCUUCCAUACAGUGGAUCAAUGGCAGGCCUUCCAUACGGUGGAUCAUUGGCAGGCCCUCCAUAUAGUGUCGAUUUUCUGCUAGGCAUAUCAACAGGAGGAUCAUCGAAAGGGGCAAAAGGUGGAGGAUUAUUGGCAGUACUUGUAACUCCCAAAGUCCUAUUUCUAAGCCUCGAAGCAAUCUCUGUGAGGGCUCCUCUUGCAAUAGCUGGAGGCCCAGCAACCUGAAAGCUUGGAACAAAUGUACAGGUACAACGGACGUUAACAAAUUAAAGGUCCAGAUAAUAAAAACAUACAGAAAUAUGUUAAUGUAGCAGUUAUCAAAUAUUAAGUCACCUGCACAAGUUCAUCAUCAAAAGACAAGUAUUUUGGUUUAUCUGCCUUCGAGUAAACUCGAAUUUCAGCCCCAGUUCGUCUUCUCAUUUCAGUAAUCACCUUCCCACCUUCCCCAAGAAUACAGCCAACUUUGCUUGAUGGUACAACAAGCCUAGUACUUGAAUGGCGUUUCUCAGAGGGUGCACUUACUUUAUCAUGGAGCAAAAUGAGUGCCUCAAUUGCUGGGGAUAUUGGUUCAGAUGGUACCUGGAUGAAUAAAAAAGGAGAUAAAAUUGUGAGUAUUGGUACUAGAAAGUGAUUGGCAACUCAAAACCAGCUGCACUGUUACCUCCUUAGAUGAAACAAUGAUCAGACUUUCUCCAGAAGCAUCUUUGUCAAUCUCUUGAACUUUGAUGCGAGCACCAGUCUGCUGCUCUACUCGCUUAACAUUAGCCCCACUUUUCCCAAUAACUGAACCAAUGAGCUCAGAAGCACAUAGAAUUCUGAUAGAAAACUCUUCAGUUUCAGUAACAUGAUAUUGCAGUCCACUUCUAUAGGGAUCGAGCAGGGGUAUUGGAGGUGGAUGAUCACUAUGCAGGUGCGGCAACAUUGGAUUUUCAUGUUGUAGUAGUAUUGGGGACUCGCGUUUCCUUUGUGUGCUUGCAUUUAUUAUUUCUUCAAGAGGUCUAUUUUCCUUACGAGGAUGCUGAUGGAGACGAGUAGAUAUUUCAUAUAGAGCUUUUCUUACAAGAGAAGGUGCUCCAGAUAUCUGAAAUAUCAUAACAACAAUAUGAUAUAUGAUACCUAUGUACUGAUGUCCAAAAGUGAAACUAAGCAUGACAAAGACGCAAAUUUCAAGAUAUGAGAACAGCAUGACACAAAGUUCCAUCGUUUUGUUAAUUUAAUUAAUUGAUAGGGAAAAUCAAGUUAUCAAAACCAUGAGAAACUAGACAGGCAGAAGUAGAAUAACAAUUGAUAUGUCCACAGCGAAUUGUUUAUUUCGAGAAAAAAUAAUACAUGAACAAUUGAAUGCUAAUCCAAAUAUAAAGAAACAGCAUAUGAGGCCACAGGAACCAAUGGAAGCAAAAGGCAUUACCAAGCCAGACAAAAGACAAUAAAGGAUUUUCUACUAUUAAUACAGCCUUACCUGCACCAGUUCAUCACUUUUAAGUGCACACUGGGGAAGGUCUUCAGAUGGCAAGACACGGAUCCCAGCACCAGUAUCACUUCGUAGUUGUUGUAUAAUGGAGCCACCUUUUCCUAGAAGGCAGCCAACUUGAUUGCCUUGAACCAAAAUUCGAGCAGUCACAUCAUCAGCACUUUCAGACUUUUCCUCAUGGGCGACUCCAUCAUGAAUUUCAUCAGCCACAAUCUUAUCAUGUAUCUUCAAUAAGGCAUCUUGGGCAAAGCAAUGGGGUUUCAUGUUCCCUAAGCCAUCACUAAAUUUAGUUUCAGCUGCUUCAUCAGUCAGUUCAGGUUGAUUUUGGUAAUUGAAGAUGAUAAUUACUCUCUCAUCUGCACCAGGAAUGGGAUCGGCAACCCUUAUCUUGGCUUUAGUUUCUUCUCUGAGGGCCUUAACAACAUCACCACCUCUUCCCAAGACACUGCCUAUCUUUUUUACUGGGCACAAUAUCCUGUAGAUGGUUUCAACUGGCUCUGAGGACAUAGAUGUGUCAUCAUGCCUUGAGUUUAGCCGUUUCCUCUUUCUGUCCUCAGAAUUGGAAUAUGUCCUCUUUUUGGAGUUACUUCUUCUAGACUUGCCAUAAUCCAUCAAAAUCAAUCUUGCAGUUCCCCUUUAUCCACAUAAAGAAUAAUCCAUCAGAGCAAACAAACUGAUAAGAUACUGAUAACGAGGUCAUUAAACAAAGAUGAAAGGAUGCUGCAUGCACAUGUGCCUCUAGCAGCAUCCCCAAUGACAACACAUACACAGCCUUAUGCACGUAUAGCUGCUGCUGGAUGUCCAUGUUGCUAUUUUGUACUACAGAACACUAGCAUAGGCAAUUUUAAGUUCAACAACAUGUGUUGGCUGUUGACCAUGUACAGAUCAAGGCAUCCUGGUGAUCAAAAGUUGCAUGGAUUCAGGAUACAAAUUACCCACUGUUUGCUUUUAAAAUAUAUAAGUACAUUCAUUCAAUUCAAGAAGAGCUCCAUAUUAUUGAUUUCCUUUAAAAAUAAUGCCCAUGAAUAACAUGGUUCAUCUUCUAGAAGAAUUACAGCGAAUAACAAUGUCUGCAUGAAGUACGCAAAAUCUAAAGUCUUCCGGCAACUGAAAUCCAGCCUAAGAGAAACUCAAGGUACAAUUUUUUAUGUUCAAUUUUCCAGAAUUGCAGAUAUAAUGCCAGUAUGUGCUGAAAGGGAACAUCAUAUAAAGUACCAUGCCUAAUUUAAAUAAAUAAUGAAAACAUUAUAAAAACAGACAGGGGACAAAGCAGGCUAAAUAGUUUGAAAAAAAAUGCUAAAUGAACGUCUUAGAUGAAAUAGAAUAAAAACUUAACUGAGGCACAUUAUCACUAACAUUUCAUUACAAGCAAAAGGCUUCCUAGCAUAUGCAAGUAUGCAACUUGAAGCAAUUCCAUAAAAUAACCUCUGAAAUGGAUUAGCUUGUGCCCAUAAAAGAUGAGCAAUGACUUCACAAGCACACCUCAUCAACUACCAACUAGGUGCAAUGGAAAAUUUCUUAACCGCUCAUCUAC